CUGGCGUUCGGCUGCCGGGCACCUUCAUGUACAGCUGCACCGUGUUCAUGCCCAGGAUGGUGUGGCCCACGUGGCUCAGCAUGUUGCCCGUGGAUGUUACCCGCAUGAAGGCGGGCAGCUUCAGCAGCUCCUGCAGCUGGGGCUUCCACCUGCGGUGCGGAAGUGCGACGAGAGGCUACACCCCGCCCCCGCCACGAGGUCCUAGCAGCACUCCUGCCCCAACUUCCCUGGCCUCAGCCCCACUGACCGCUUAGCAUCAGACAAGUCGAUGUUGGUGCCAAACUUGAUGAUGUGAUGGUUCUUCGGGUCUGGUGCGCUGCUGCUGGGGCGAAGAGCACAGCCAGAGGGUAGGCAGGCCUGGGUCAGAGACCUUUCGAGAGCCCUCCCACCGCAGCCCCGUCCCAGGACCUGCCUCUGGCCACGUUCUCAUCUCACCUGCAGAGACUCCUGGAAGGAUGAGGCCUGGUACUGUGCGUACUUGGCAAUGGUGGUGUGGGAACGGGAGCUCUCACAAGGCCAGAUCUGCCGAGUGCCUGUCAGAUCCCAGUUCUCAUCUGAGGGCUGCUGCACCUGGGUGCGAACUUCCACGGUGUGUUCGCCACUCGCUUCCACCAGGGUCUUGGUGGAGAAGAGGCCCAAGUCUGGAAGGGAGGGCCGAGCAGGGUGUCGGGGCAGAGGCAGAGGAUAGGGACCGAGGACCCAAUCGACCCUUUCCCUUCCUACUCCUCUGGCUCUGACAGGGUGGUCAUAGGUUUAGCAGAGCUCAGCCCAGAAGAAAUAGGCAGGAGCCCUAGCCCCACAGGAAGCUGGGAGUGCUGGCCUCUAUCUGCAUCCUCACCAGCCCUCUUUCUCCUGCAGCUGCUCAAGGACUCAGCCCCUAGACCAGUGUUCCCAGAUGUGUGCGUGGCCAUGUGCACCGCACCUGACAGACACAUAGUAGGUGCUCAAUGAAUGGCAGCUUCUUUUUUCCCCAUUUGGAGUCUAGUCAAAACAGCAGCUUCUUUGAGUUACCAUUGGAUCCAAUUAAAGAUUAAAGAUUCAGUCAAGUGAAAGCCUGAAAUGUGCUUCAAAUAACUCAGUGUGGGGAAGGGAGAACAUACAGGUAUAAAGGAGACAAGAUUGACCUUUGUAUUUCUAUACAGCUUUCUCUAAUUUUGUAUGUGUUUGAAAUUCUGCGCAAUAAAAGACUGAGAGAGAGCCCCAA